rnacentral:rRNA from 1 species
UACAGAGGUCUCAAGCGUUGUUCGGAUUCAUUGGGCGUGAAGGGUGCGUAGGUGGCGAUGUAAGUCUGGUGUGAAAUCUCGAAGCUUAACUUCGAAAUGGCAUUGGAUACUACAUUGCUCGAGGACUGUAGAGGAGAGUGGAAUUCACGGUGUAGCAGUGAAAUGCGUAGAUAUCGUGAGGAAGACCAGUUGCGAAGGCGACUCUCUGGGCAGGUCCUGACACUGAGGCACGAAGGCCAGGGGAGCAAACGGG